rnacentral:rRNA from 1 species
CACACGACUCUCGGCAACGGAUAUCCCGGCUCUCGCAUCGAUGAAGAACGUAGCAAAAUGCGAUACCUGGUGUGAAUUGCAGAAUCCCGUGAACCAUCAAGUUUUUGAACGCAAGUUGCGCCCGAGGCCUUCUGGUUGAGGGCACGCCUGCCUGGGCGUCACGC